rnacentral:rRNA from 1 species
UACGUAGGGGGCAAGCGUUGUCCGGAUUUAUUGGGCGUAAAGAGCGUGUAGGCGGCUUUACAGGUCCGUUGUGAAAACUCGAGGCUCAACCUCGAGACGCCGGUGGAAACCGUAAGGCUAGAGUCCGGAAGAGGAGAGUGGAAUUCCUGGUGUAGCGGUGAAAUGCGCAGAUAUCAGGAAGAACACCCGUGGCGAAGGCGGCUCUCUGGGCAGUAACUGACGCUGAGGAGCGAAAGCGUGGGGAGCGAACAGG